rnacentral:rRNA from 1 species
CCUUGAGCCGUGGCUUUCGGAGCUAACGCGUUAAGUAGACCGCCUGGGGAGUACGGUCGCAAGAUUAAAACUCAAAUGAAUUGACGGGGGCCCGCACAAGCGGUGGAGCAUGUGGUUUAAUUCGAUGCAACGCGAAGAACCUUACCUACUCUUGACAUCCAGAGAAGCCAGCGGAGACGCAGGUGUGCCUUCGGGAGCUCUGAGACAGGUGCUGCAUGGCUGUCGUCAGCUCGUGUUGUGAAAUGUUGGGUUAAGUCCCGCAACGAGCGCAACCCUUAUCCUUGUUUGCCAGCGAGUAAUGUCGGGAACUCCAGGGAGACUGCCGGUGAUAAACCGGAGGAAGGUGGGGACGACGUCAAGUCAUCAUGGCCCUUACGAGUAGGGCUACACACGUGCUACAAUGGCGCAUACAGAGGGCAGCAAGCUAGCGAUAGUGAGCGAAUCCCAAAAAGUGCGUCGUAGUCCGGAUUGGAGUCUGCAACUCGACUCCAUGAAGUCGGAAUCGCUAGUAAUCGUGAAUCAGAAUGUCACGGUGAAUACGUUCCCGGGCCUUGUACACACCGCCCGUCACACCAUGGGAGUGGGCUGCAAAAGAAGUGGGUAGUUUA